GAUGAACGCUGGCGGCGUGCCUAAUACAUGCAAGUCGAGCGAACAGACGAGGAGCUUGCUCCUCUGACGUUAGCGGCGGACGGGUGAGUAACACGUGGAUAACCUACCUAUAAGACUGGGAUAACUUCGGGAAACCGGAGCUAAUACCGGAUAAUAUACUGAACCGCAUGGUUCAAUAGUGAAAGACGGUUUUGCUGUCACUUAUAGAUGGAUCCGCGCCGCAUUAGCUAGUUGGUAAUGUAACGGCUUACCAAGGCGACGAUGCGUAGCCGACCUGAGAGGGUGAUCGGCCACACUGGAACUGAGACACGGUCCAGACUCCUACGGGAGGCAGCAGUAGGGAAUCUUCCGCAAUGGGCGAAAGCCUGACGGAGCAACGCCGCGUGAGUGAUGAAGGUCUUCGGAUCGUAAAACUCUGUUAUUAGGGAAGAACAAAUGUGUAAGUAACUAUGCACGUCUUGACGGUACCUAAUCAGAAAGCCACGGCUAACUACGUG
rnacentral:rRNA from 1 species